rfam:Agrilus planipennis Contig18792, whole genome shotgun sequence.
AGGUAGAGGGGUUUUAGUCGGUAGGUCCGAGGACUUCUUCCUCGGGAAUCCGACACUACCCAGUCGUACGGACGGCUGGGUAUCUUCUGAAGAUUUCCCCUCUUCC